UACGUAGGAGGCGAGCGUUGUCCGGAGUUACUGGGCGUAAAGAGUGUGUAGGCGGUGCUCUAAGUUCGGUGUGAAAUCUCCCGGCUCAACUGGGAGGGUGCGCCGAAAACUGGAGUGCUGGAGCGCGGGAGAGGAAAGCGGAAUUCCUGGUGUAGCGGUGAAAUGCGUAGAUAUCAGGAGGAACACCGGCGGUGUAGACGGCUUUCUGGACCGUAGCUGACGCUGAGACACGAAAGACGUGGGUAGCAAACAGG
rnacentral:rRNA from 1 species